rnacentral:rRNA from 1 species
GCUCAGUAACACGUGGAGAACGUGCCCUUAAGUGGGGGAUAAUCUCGGGAAAUUGAGGAUAAUACCCCAUAGGUCAUGGGAUCUGGAAUGACCCAUGGCUGAAAGUUCCGGCGCUUAAGGAUCGCUCUGCGGCCUAUCAGGUAGUAGUGGGUGUAACGUACCCCCUAGCCUACGACGGGUAUGGGCCUUGAGAGAGGGAGCCCAGAGUUGGAUUCUGAGACACGAAUCCAGGCCCUACGGGGCGCAGCAGUCGCGAAAACUUCACACUGGGGGGAACCCCGAUGAGGGAAUUCCUAGUGCCAGGGCUUUUUGUCCUGGCUUUUCUCCAGCGUAGAUUACUGGAGGAAUAAGGGCUGGGUAAGACGGGUGCCAGCCGCCGCGGUAAUACCUGCAGCCCGAGUGGUGGUCGAUUUUAUUGAGUCUAAAACGUUCGUAGCCGGUUCAUUAAAUCCUUGGGUAAAUCGGAUGGCUUAACUAUCCGAAUUCCGGGGAGACUGGUGAACUUGGGACCGGGAGAGGCAAGAGGUACUUUUGGGGUAGGGGUAAAACCCUGUAAUCCUAAAAGGACCACCGGUGGCGAAGGCGUCUUGCUAGAACGGAUCCGACGGUGAGGGACGAAGCCCUGGGUCGCAAACGGGAUUAGAUACCCCGGUAGUCCAGGGUGUAAACGCUGCAGACUAGUGUUGGAGGCCCUACGGGGGCACCCAGUGCCCGAGAGAAGUUGUUAAGUCUGCUACUUGGGGAGUACGUCCGCAAGGAUGAAACUUAAAGGAAUUGGCGGGGGAGCACCGCAACGGGA